UGGGGAAUAUUGCACAAUGGGCGCAAGCCUGAUGCAGCCAUGCCGCGUGUGUGAAGAAGGCCUUCGGGUUGUAAAGCACUUUCAGCGGGGAGGAAGGCGAUAAGGUUAAUAACCUUGUCGAUUGACGUUACCCGCAGAAGAAGCACCGGCUAACUCCGUGCCAGCAGCCGCGGUAAUACGGAGGGUGCAAGCGUUAAUCGGAAUUACUGGGCGUAAAGCGCACGCAGGCGGUCUGUCAAGUCGGAUGUGAGAUCCCCGGGCUCAACCUGGGAACUGCAUUCGAAACUGGCAGGCUAGAGUCUUGUAGAGGGGGGUAGAAUUCCAUGUGUAGCGGUGAAAUGCGUAGAGAUGUGGAGGAAUACCGGUGGCGAAGGCGGCCCCCUGGACAAAGACUGACGCUCAGGUGCGAAAGCGUGGGGAGCAAACAGG
rnacentral:rRNA from 1 species